CUACGGAGGGUCCAAGCGUUAUCCGGAAUCAUUGGGUUUAAAGGGUCCGCAGGCGGUCAAUUAAGUCAGAGGUGAAAGCCAAUCGCUCAACGAUGGAACUGCCUUUGAUACUGGUUGACUUGAGUUAUACGGAAGUAGAUAGAAUAAGUAGUGUAGCGGUGAAAUGCAUAGAUAUUACUUAGAAUACCGAUUGCGAAGGCAGUCUACUACGUAUAUACUGACGCUGAGGGACGAAAGCGUGGGGAGCGAACAGGAUUAGAAACCCUAGUAGUCC
rnacentral:rRNA from 1 species